rnacentral:rRNA from 1 species
GUGUCAGCCGCCGCGGUAAUACGUAGGGUCCGAGCGUUGUCCGGAAUUAUUGGGCGUAAAGGGCUCGUAGGCGGUUUGUCGCGUCGGGAGUGAAAACUCAGGGCUCAACCCUGAGCGUGCUUCCGAUACGGGCAGACUAGAGGUAUGCAGGGGGGAACGGAAUUCCUGGUGUAGCGGCGGAAUGCGCAGAUAUCAGGAGGAACACCGGUGGCGAAGGCGGUUCUCUGGGCAUUACCUGACGCUGAGGAGCGAAAGCAUGGGGAGCGAACAGGAUUAGAAACCCCCGUAGUCC